UUGAUGAAAUCUCAAUCAAUUGCUAUGAUGCUAUGAUAUCCUCAAGAUAUAGGUAUCAUAUCUGUGUACCCUCAAAGUCUCAAAAUGGAUCUGCACGUGUUGUGCCAUGCUUUGGUGUAACUAGACGUAUAAUCUCUUUCUCCUCUUGGUUAUGGGCCCCUCCACCUUGAAUAUCGGAUAUUUAGUCUUAUAACUCGAGUUCAUUUGAACAUUACAAAGUAACUGUCAUUUUAAUUUUGAUCGUGUAAUUAUAAAGACUGAAUAUUUCUCAUUUUGAAACCUCUCAUAAUUCGAGUUUCAAUUAUUCAUCUGCUUACAUUAUUAGUACCUACUAAUCAAAAUCAUGCGUUUACUUAUUUUGAGUCUAAUUUGUGUGACAAUUUUCUGGAUGAAUGUUGCACAGACUGAGACAGCCACUAUUGAUCCACUUGCGGGUUUCAUGGGUUGGAUCAAUCAGGAAAUUCGGAAAGAGGGAAACGUAGAUUUCACAGUCGGACCCUCUCCUAUUAUACCCCAAAAUAUCCAGACAUAAGAAAUGUGAUUUGAAAUUUACUUAAUGGUCAAUCAAAAGUUCAAUGGAGUUGGUCCAAGAAGCUUGUAAGAGAAAAACUUUAUAAUUUUAUGAUUUACAAAAUAAUAUGAUCAUUGCCAUAGGAGUAAGGUGUAUUAGGUAUUUUAAUUAAAAAACGCAAUAAUCAGUUAAACAAAUGUUGAAAAAUGUAAAAAAAAUCGAUUGAGCAGUGAAGGAUACAAAAUUCAUCCAGUAUUAACAUUAUUUCAUUAUAUUUCAUUAUAAGUACAUAUUCUUUUUUAUUUUAAAUAAAUCGAAUGUGAAGAAUGAGAA